UGUGGGAGCGAGCUUGCUCGCGAAAGCGUCCGUUCAGUCAGUACAGUAAGUGACUGGUGAACCGCAUUCGCGAGCAAGCUCGCUCCCACA
rnacentral:antisense_RNA from 1 species